AUGGACUGGAUUUCUGAAGCUUCUGAGUUCCACUCCAUGAUUUUUGCGGUGGCUGUAUGGCAUAUAUGGGAGAACAGGAACUCGUGUCGCAAUGGUGAGACAAUCUCUCAUCCCCUUCAUAUUGUUGGAAGGAUCAAGGCUUAUAUUGAUUUUAUCUUGCUGAACAGCAACAUAUUAGCAGGUUCCAACAGGCGUGAGACAUUGACAUCAAUUCAGAAAUGGUCUCCGCCGCCGGAAGGCCUGCUCAUGAUCAAUGUGGAUGCUGCAAUCUUCUCAAAAUCUGGACGUGCUGGGUUCGGAGUGGUAAUGCGUGAUUAUAAGGGACUGGUGAGAGCUGCUUGUCGUGGCUUUCUUAAUCACGUAUACUGUCCUGAGGUUGCUGAAGCCUAUGCUAUACGCCAAGCACUCAUUCUUGCUGAAAACACAGGGGUCCAAAGGCUUCAGGUGGCUUCGGACUGUCUUUCGGUGAUUAAGAAACUCCAACAACAAAGCAUGGAUAGAUCCCUGAUUGGUGCUAUUGUUUUUGAUAUUAAGAGUAGAGCUACAAAAUUUGCAUCCUGUACUUUUAGACAUGUUGUUCGUACUUGUAAUGAGGCUGCUCAUGUUCUUGCCAAAUGA
rnacentral:rRNA from 1 species